rnacentral:tRNA from 1 species
GUCCGCAUGUCCGAGAGGCCAGGAGCGCGACUGCAAAUCGCGUCACACCGGUUCGAAUCCGGUUGCGGACU